GACGAACGCUGGCGGCGUGCUUAACACAUGCAAGUCGAACGAAGAGCGAUGGAAGCUUGCUUCUGUCAAUCUUAGUGGCGAACGGGUGAGUAACGCGUAAUCAACCUGCCCUUCAGAGGGGGACAACAGUUGGAAACGACUGCUAAUACCGCAUACGAUCUAAUCUCGGCAUCGAGGAUAGAUGAAAGGUGGCCUCUACAUGUAAGCUAUCACUGAAGGAGGGGAUUGCGUCUGAUUAGCUAGUUGGAGGGGUAACGGCCCACCAAGGCGAUGAUCAGUAGCCGGUCUGAGAGGAUGAACGGCCACAUUGGGACUGAGACACGGCCCAGACUCCUACGGGAGGCAGCAGUGGGGAAUCUUCCGCAAUGGACGAAAGUCUGACGGAGCAACGCCGCGUGAGUGAUGACGGCCUUCGGGUUGUAAAGCUCUGUUAAUCGGGACGAAAGGCCUU
rnacentral:rRNA from 1 species